rfam:Flavobacterium fryxellicola strain DSM 16209 FBFR01, whole genome shotgun sequence.
CCCUAGCCGCGACAGCAGUGAAAAUCCUCUUGACCAAAACCCUAUUUUUUCUUGGCAUUAAAGAGCGACCGCAGGAAGCUCCUUUUAUGACUUAGAAAAAAAGGGUUGUGGUUAAGAGAUUGCAACGUAUGGCGGGAAAUAGC